rnacentral:rRNA from 1 species
CAGUCGCCACGGUAAUACGUAGGGUGCGAGCGUUAAUCGGAAUUACUGGGCGUAAAGCGUGCGCAGGCGGUUGUGUAAGACAGGUGUGAAAUCCCCGGGCUUAACCUGGGAACUGCGCUUGUGACUGCACAGCUAGAGUAUGGCAGAGGGGGGUGGAAUUCCACGUGUAGCAGUGAAAUGCGUAGAGAUGUGGAGGAACACCGAUGGCGAAGGCAGCCCCCUGGGCCAAUACUGACGCUCAUGCACGAAGGCGUGGGGAGCAAACAGGAUUAGAUACCCCCGUAGUCCCUGUCUCUUAUAA